ACAAAAAAACAAAAAACGUUAAAAAUGAAUAACGCCGUCGACUUAAUGAUUCUUCUUCUUCUUCUUGUUCAUCGAUUGAUUACAGAGGAGAGACAAGCUGUGUUUGUGAAUUUUAAAUCUCCAAUUCCUUGCUUUCGAAUUCACCCAAGGAAAACAAAAAACGAAACGUCUAAAUCAGCCCGACUUACUUGUAACCCUAACAAUCUAGCAGUGGUCAUGAAGGGAAUCUUUCUGAAAUGCAACCUUUGAAACUUGGGCUUCUUGCCAUGUUUGUGGAGAUCUCAUGAUGCGAUGAGAAACAUGACAUCUUUCUAGGAAUACAUUACAUGGGAAGAGAAGAAGCAAGAGGCAAGCUUUAAAUCUCAAGGAUGUAGGAAAGUAGUGCGGAAGAGACACCAGCUUCGUGCAUCCCUUGAUUACAAGUUCACGAAGAUGAGGCCAUGACAUGAUUGAUGGAGGCAAUUCCUCUAUUGCAGUUCCAGCGAGCUUUAGAACUCUGAUGUUUGUGGAAAUCUCCGGAGUGAGAACAAGUUCCUGAGAUUAGUCAUAUUCCCAAUGGAAGAAGGGAACUCAACAAGACUUGAGCAUCCACCAAGAUACAACUCCUCAAGAUUAGUCAUAUUCCCAAUAGAAGAAGGGAGCUCCCGUAGACUUGAGCAUCCUCGCAAUUCAAAUUUCUUGAGGUAACUGGCGGGAAUAUACAAAGGGAGCUCCACAAGAUUUGAGCAACCACUCGAAAAAAAGUCGGAAGAUAAAAGCUCCACCAAACUUGAGCAAUUCUCGAGAUACAACGUCUUGAGAUUACCAAUAGAAGGUGGGAGAUUAGCUAGAUGUGAGCAUCCCGUGAGAAGCAAUUCCUCGAGAGUAGUGACAUUUUCCAUAGAAGAGGGGAACUCCACUAGACUUGAGCAAUCUCUAAGAUCCAAAUGCCAGAGAUUGAUAGCAUUUCCAAUAGAAAAGGGGAGCUCCGUUAGACUUGAGCAACCAAAAAGAUUCAAUUCCUGGAGAUUAGUGGCAGUUGAGAGAUCAGGAAGCUCCUUUAGAUUUAAAGCUUGCCUCUUGCUGGUCUAUAGUUGGAAUGGUUUUGAUUCUGAUGUCGAUCCAUUCUGAGUUGGGUCUGAAAAAGCUGACCUGAGGUCCCAAGAACUUGACAGCCACAACACAAUCCUCUUCCUUGGGAGAAGAUGAGGACAUUGCUACGUUGGUGACCAUCUGAGUUUGGCAACGUUCUGUUCUGGAAACCCAUCGUUCAAAGUAGUUAAAUCAACUCUAUCUUCCUUCUUUGUUCCAGUGUUCCAAAAGAAGUUAAGGAUCUUCCAGGGAGCUUGGUGUCGCAACAAGCAGUAUGCCUCCAUGUCUAUGUGUAAACCUCUUAUAUAUGUUAGUUAUUUUUUCAAGUUUGUUUGACUUCUCGUUUGCUGGCUUCCACAAAACUCUAUGGUUCAUUGCCACCUUCGUUGAUACCUUAUAUUUCAAGUCGAUCCUCUUUGGUGGCUA